GAAAUGCGAUAAGCAAUGUGAAUUGCAGAAUUCAGAUAAUCAUCGAAUCUUUGAACGCACAUUGCGACCGCCAGUAUUCUGGCGGGCAUGCCUGUUCGAGCGUCAUUUCAACCAUCAAGCCCCCGGGCUUGUGAUGGGGACCCUGCGGCUGCCCGCAGGCCCUGAAAUGCAGUGGCGGGCUCGCUGUCCGUACCGAGCGUAGUAGCAUUCCACCUCGCUCAGGGCGUGCUGCGGGCUCAGGCCGUUACACGCGACCUUAACGCAUACCAAGGUUGACCCCGGAUCAGGUAGGAAGACCCGCUGAACUUUA
rnacentral:misc_RNA from 1 species